UGUGGAUGUAGCUCAGUUGGUAGAGUGCUUGCCUGGCAUGCAUGAGGCCCUGGGUUCAAUCCCCAGCACCAUAA
rnacentral:tRNA from 1 species